rnacentral:tRNA from 1 species
GCUUAGUUAGUAUAAUAGUUAUUACAAUUGUUUUGUAAUCAAUAAAUACAAGUGCAAUUCUUGUACCGAGCU